GAUGAACGCUGGCUGCGUGCCUAAUACAUGCAAGUCGAGCGAACGGACGAGAAGCUUGCUUCUCUGAUGUUAGCGGCGGACGGGUGAGUAACACGUGGAUAACCUACCUAUAAGACUGGGAUAACUUCGGGAAACCGGAGCUAAUACCGGAUAAUAUUUUGAACCGCAUGGUUCAAAAGUGAAAGACGGUCUUGCUGUCACUUAUAGAUGGAUCCGCGCUGCAUUAGCUAGUUGGUAAGGUAACGGCUUACCAAGGCAACGAUGCAUAGCCGACCUGAGAGGGUGAUCGGCCACACUGGAACUGAGACACGGUCCAGACUCCUACGGGAGGCAGCAGUAGGGAAUCUUCCGCAAUGGGCGAAAGCCUGACGGAGCAACGCCGCGUGAGUGAUGAAGGUCUUCGGAUCGUAAAACUCUGUUAUUAGGGAAGAACAUAUGUGUAAGUAACUGUGCACAUCUUGACGGUACCUAAUCAGAAAGCCACGGCUAACUACGUGCCAGCAGCCGCGGUAAUACGUAGGUGGCAAGCGUUAUCCGGAAUUAUUGGGCGUAAAGCGCGCGUAGGCGGUUUUUUAAGUCUGAUGUGAAAGCCCACGGCUCAACCGUGGAGGGUCAUUGGAAACUGGAAAACUUGAGUGCAGAAGAGGAAAGUGGAAUUCCAUGUGUAGCGGUGAAAUGCGCAGAGAUAUGGAGGAACACCAGUGGCGAAGGCGACUUUCUGGUCUGUAACUGACGCUGAUGUGCGGAAGCGUGGGGAUCAAACAGGAUUAGAUACCCUGGUAGUCCACGCCGUAAACGAUGAGUGCUAAGUGUUAGGGGGUUUCCGCCCCUUAGUGCUGCAGCUAACGCAUUAAGCACUCCGCCUGGGGAGUACGACCGCAAGGUUGAAACUCAAAGGAAUUGACGGGGACCCGCACAAGCGGUGGAGCAUGUGGUUUAAUUCGAAGCAACGCGAAGAACCUUACCAAAUCUUGACAUCCUUUGACAACUCUAGAGAUAGAGCCUUCCCCUUCGGGGGACAAAGUGACAGGUGGUGCAUGGUUGUCGUCAGCUCGUGUCGUGAGAUGUUGGGUUAAGUCCCGCAACGAGCGCAACCCUUAAGCUUAGUUGCCAUCAUUAAGUUGGGCACUCUAAGUUGACUGCCGGUGACAAACCGGAGGAAGGUGGGGAUGACGUCAAAUCAUCAUGCCCCUUAUGAUUUGGGCUACACACGUGCUACAAUGGACAAUACAAAGGGCAGCGAAACCGCGAGGUCAAGCAAAUCCCAUAAAGUUGUUCUCAGUUCGGAUUGUAGUCUGCAACUCGACUACAUGAAGCUGGAAUCGCUAGUAAUCGUAGAUCAGCAUGCUACGGUGAAUACGUUCCCGGGUCU
rnacentral:rRNA from 1 species